AACGAACGCUGGCGGCAGGCUUAACACAUGCAAGUCGAGCGCCCCGCAAGGGGAGCGGCAGACGGGUGAGUAACGCGUGGGAAUCUACCCAGCUCUACGGAAUAACUCAGGGAAACUUGUGCUAAUACCGUAUACGUCCUCCGGGAGAAAGAUUUAUCGGAGCUGGAUGAGCCCGCGUUGGAUUAGCUAGUUGGUGGGGUAAUGGCCCACCAAGGCGACGAUCCAUAGCUGGUCUGAGAGGAUGAUCAGCCACAUUGGGACUGAGACACGGCCCAAACUCCUACGGGAGGCAGCAGUGGGGAAUAUUGGACAAUGGGCGAAAGCCUGAUCCAGCCAUGCCGCGUGAGUGAUGAAGGCCCUAGGGUUGUAAAGCUCUUUCACCGGUGAAGAUAAUGACGGUAACCGGAGAAGAAGCCCCGGCUAACUUCGUGCCAGCAGCCGCCGUAA
rnacentral:rRNA from 1 species